rnacentral:lncRNA from 1 species
GAGAAGCACAAGGACUGGACUUUGACAGGAAGCAACGAGGCAAGAGGGAAGCUCGAGAACAGGUUUUGCUGAGGAUUCCCCCCAAGAAAAGUGCUCCCCGGGAGGCCGUUCCUGGCACCAAGACUGGCGGAGCCACCACACCCGUUAAAGGGAUCCACCUGGACAGCGAUCAGGCAAGCACCUCCAAGGAUCACGUAGGACCAGCAGAAGCAGCGUAAAGUAUUGGAACUUUGAAUCUGACAUCAGAAAGACCUGCACUCAGCCGGGCACGGUGGCUCACGAUUGUAAUCCCAGGCCGAGGCGGUGGAUCACUUGAGAUUCACUGAUUCUAGGUAAAUCAGAGGAACAAGCAACA